rnacentral:rRNA from 1 species
GCUUUGUCUGCGCAGGAUAGGUGGGAGGCGCUGAAAAUUUUCUUGCGGGAAGAUUGGAGCCGUUGGUGAGAUACCACUCUAACAAUGCUAGGAUUCUAACCCUACACCGUUAUCCGGUUAGGGGACAGUUUCAGGUGGUCAGUUUGACUGGGGCGGUCGCCUCCCAAAAGGUAACGGAGGCGUGCAAAGGUUUCCUCAGGCUGGUCGGAAAUCAGUCGUAGAGUGUAAAGGCAUAAGGAAGCUUGAUUGUGAGACCUACAAGUCGAACAAAGACGAAAGUCGGCCUUAGUGAUCCGACGGUUCCGAGUGGAAGGGCCGUCGCUCAACGGAUAAAAGUUACUCUAGGGAUAACA